CGCGUAGGUGGCGGGACAAGCGUGCGGUGAAAGCUCGGGGCUCAACCCCGCGUCGGCCGUGCGAACUGUUUUGCUUGAGCACUGUAGAGGCAGGCGGAAUUCCGGGUGUAGCGGUGGAAUGCGUAGAGAUCCGGAAGAACACCGGUGGCGAAGGCGGCCUGCUGGGCAGUAGCUGACACUGAGGCGCGACAGCGUGGGAGCAAACA
rnacentral:rRNA from 1 species